UUCGGUAUGUGUCUGUCACAUGACUAGCAGGGAAUAUCAAAAAUAUUGCCAUAAAGUGUGCCCGAACAAGCCCGGAAUAUACCACCAGCAAUGCAGAUGCAGAGAUACUCGGAACUCGUACGAGGAGCAUCUUUCGGAUAGACAGACAGCCAGAGUUUGGCAUCUUGACUAACGCCCCUAAACCUAUUUAUUAACCCUUAUAGUCUUGCCUUGUAGUCGGAGCGGCAGCCGGAGAAGGGAGAGUUCACCUGAUGGCACUGCCGUGCUCUGGUUUUUUGUUUUGGUAGCACGGCAUCUUUCAAUUUGCGACUCGAAUAGGGGCAACGCAACAGCAUUAUCAACCCGGUGAUGUCUUGUUCUUGCUCUUGUUCUUGGGUUGGCGGCUGGUUCUUCAUGAUGAUGAAAAUGAUGAUGGUGAUGAAGAUGAUGUCGUUGUGGUGCUGCACACAAUUUGGCAUAUUGCCAUGGACACGGACACGGAUGAAAACACGGCUACGUCUGUUCGGAGUGUGCAUUGUUGCAGUUGUUGUCCGCAAGUGUCGGCAUUUGUAUUAUUACAAUUAUUAUGUUGAUGUGCCUCCACCUUGCCCCCUGGCCAUACUCGUCCUCAUUCUCGUCCUUCGCCUGUUGUAUUCUGUUUGCAUAUUUGCGGUCAGUGUGCGGUGUCAGAGUCACAGGUCGGAUGUUGGAGUUUCCAGCUCUGGAGUGUCUGGAGUUCCGAGUGCACUCCAGUUGGCUGCGUGCAGCCAGCGUGUGUGCACACGGCGUAUACGCAAUUAACCAUAUUGGUAAAUAUUAUGCCAAGUUACGCGCAAUUUCGCGGUCGCGGCUUGCAUUAGCUUUGACCAGUGGGCCAAUAUCCAACGAGGGAUCAAAGAGGUGCCAAAGGCAGCUCCCACUUUGGCUUCCUAAAUACUCCAACACGGCACACACGACUACACAAUGUAUGUACUCCACUAAUGGUAAUUAUGGAUCGUGCCUAGAAGGGUCGGGGGCGGGGUUGCUUGCAUCAAUGGGCCUGAG